UACGGAGGGUGCAAGCGUUGUUCGGAAUUAUUGGGCGUAAAGGGCGUGUAGGCGGUUCGUUAAGUCUGAUGUGAAAGCCCCGGGCUCAACCUGGGAAGUGCAUCCGAUACUGGCGGGCUUGAAUCCGGGAGAGGGAUGUGGAAUUCCAGGUGUAGCGGUGAAAUGCGUAGAUAUCUGGAGGAACACCGGUGGCGAAGGCGGCAUCCUGGACCGGUAUUGACGCUGAGGCGCGAAAGCUAGGGGAGCAAACGGG
rnacentral:rRNA from 1 species